AAAAACAGAACAAGAACACCCCUCUAACAGAUGCUCCUUUAAUGAUAACCCUUUUCUGUUUCCCACAGGCAACCGUAGCUCUAAGGCACAGUUAUCCAGAGAUCUCACUGGCAGAGGCUGAUGAAGAGAUGAAUUAGGGACAAGAGAACGCACAGCACAACGGACUUCCGGAAUUUCAUCAGAGUUCUCUCCCCAGAUGACAUGACUGGAACAUCAACUCUUGGGAUGCUGUUGGGAAAUAAUCAGCAUUUAUGAAGUUGGCAAUACAUGCCACAUUGGAUGCACCCUCAUGCCCCAAAUCUUUUAGCUUUGUUAUGGAAGCAAAAGAAGUCGACAUGAUCUCCAUUCCCAACUGCCGGCUCCUUAAAGGAUGAAGACUUCCCUCGGAUCACCAGAGCUCCCCACCUCACUAAGUUUAUGCUAAGGGAUGGUGAGGCAGGAUUUGGAAUCUUCCAGAAGUCCAUUCCAUUUCUUUCAACUCUUAAUUAAGGGAUCUAAGAUUAGAUAUAAUUGGGCAAGUUCCCAUCACAUCAGUUUCUGAGUCUGAGCAAUCCACUAUAAUAUCAUUCCAUAAAAAUUAAACAUUUUCAAGGCCUCUC
rnacentral:lncRNA from 10 species